UACGUAGGGUGCGAGCGUUGUCCGGAAUUACUGGGCGUAAAGAGCUCGUAGGCGGUUUGUCGCGUCUGCCGUGAAAGUCCCGGGGCUCAACUCCGGAUCUGCGGUGGGUACGGGCAGACUAGAGUGAUGUAGGGGAGACUGGAAUUCCUGGUGUAGCGGUGAAAUGCGCAGAUAUCAGGAGGAACACCGAUGGCGAAGGCAGGUCUCUGGGCAUUAACUGACGCUGAGGAGCGAAAGCAUGGGGAGCGAACAGG
rnacentral:rRNA from 1 species